rnacentral:rRNA from 1 species
CUAAAUACUCCCUAGUGACCGAUAGUGAACCAGUACCGUGAGGGAAAGGUGAAAAGCACCCCGGGAGGGGAGUGAAAUAGAACCUGAAACCGUGUGCCUACAACAAGUUCGAGCCCGUUAAUGGGUGAGAGCGUGCCUUUUGUAGAAUGAACCGGCGAGUUACGUUAUGAUGCGAGGUUAAGUUGAAGAGACGGAGCCGUAGGGAAACCGAGUCUGAAUAGGGCGCCUUAGUAUCAUGACGUAGACCCGAAACCAUGUGACCUACCCAUGAGCAGGUUGAAGGUGCGGUAAGACGCACUGGAGGACCGAACCAGGGCACGUUGAAAAGUGCUUGGAUGACUUGUGGGUAGCGGAGAAAUUCCAAACGAACUUGGAGAUAGCUGGUUCUCUCCGAAAUAGCUUUAGGGCUAGCGUCGACAUUAGAGAUUCUUGGAGGUAGAGCACUGUUUGGGUGAGGGGUCCAUCCCGGAUUACCAAUCUCAGAUAAACUCCGAAUGCCAAUGAAUUAUGGUCGGCAGUCAGACUGCGAGUGCUAAGAUCCGUAGUCGAAAGGGAAACAGCCCAGACCACCAGCUAAGGUCCCAAAAUAAUUGUUAAGUGGAAAAGGAUGUGGGGUUGCACAGACAACUAGGAUGUUAGCUUAGAAGCAGCUAUUCAUUCAAAGAGUGCGUAAUAGCUCACUAGUCGAGUGACCCUGCGCCGAAAAUGUACCGGGGCUAAAACAAUUUACCGAAGCUGUGGAUACCUUUAUAGGUAUGGUAGGAGAGCGUUCUAUGUGUGAUGAAGGUAUACCGUGAGGAGUGCUGGAACGCAUAGAAGUGAGAAUGCCGGUAUGAGUAGCGAAAGACAGGUGAGAAUCCUGUCCACCGUAAGACUAAGGUUUCCAGGGGAAGGCUCGUCCGCCCUGGGUUAGUCGGGACCUAAGGAGAGACCGAAAGGUGUAUCCGAUGGACAACAGGUUGAUAUUCCUGUACUAGAGUAUGUAGUGAUGGAGGGACGCAGUAGGCUAACUAAAGCAGACGAUUGGAAGAGUCUGUCUAAGCAGUGAGGUGUGAAUUGAGUCAAAUGCUUAAUUCUAUAACAUUGAGCUGUGAUGGGGAGCGAAGUUUAGUAGCGAAGUUAGUGACGUCACACUGCCAAGAAAAGCUUCUAGCGUUUAAACAUACUCUACCCGUACCGCAAACCGACACAGGUAGUCGAGGCGAGUAGCCUCAGGUGAGCGAGAGAACUCUCGUUAAGGAACUCGGCAAAAUGACCCCGUAACUUCGGGAGAAGGGGUGCUGACUUAAAGUCAGCCGCAGUGAAUAGGCCCAAGCAACUGUUUAUCAAAAACACAGCUCUCUGCUAAAUCGUAAGAUGAUGUAUAGGGGGUGACGCCUGCCCGGUGCUGGAAGGUUAAGAGGAGUGCUUAGCGUAAGCGAAGGUAUGAAUUGAAGCCCCAGUAAACGGCGGCCGUAACUAUAACGGUCCUAAGGUAGCGAAAUUCCUUGUCGGGUAAGUUCCGACCCGCACGAAAGGCGUAAUGAUUUGGGCACUGUCUCAACGAGAGACUCGGUGAAAUUUUAGUACCUGUGAAGAUGCAGGUUACCCGCGACAGGACGGAAAGACCCCAUGGAGCUUUACUGCAGUUUGAUAUUGAGUGUCUGUACCACAUGUACAGGAUAGGUAGGAGUCUAAGAGAUCGGGACGCCAGUUUCGAAGGAGACGCUGUUGGGAUACUACCCUUGUGUUAUGGCCACUCUAACCCAGAUAGGUGAUCCCUAUCGGAGACAGUGUCUGACGGGCAGUUUGACUGGGGCGGUCGCCUCCUAAAAGGUAACGGAGGCGCCCAAAGGUUCCCUCAGAAUGGUUGGAAAUCAUUCGCAGAGUGUAAAGGUAUAAGGGAGCUUGACUGCGAGAGCUACAACUCGAGCAGGGACGAAAGUCGGGCUUAGUGAUCCGGUGGUUCCGUAUGGAAGGGCCAUCGCUCAACGGAUAAAAGCUACCCUGGGGAUAACAGGCUUAUCUCCCCCAAGAGUUCACAUCGACGGGGAGGUUUGGCACCUCGAUGUCGGCUCGUCGCAUCCUGGGGCUGUAGUCGGUCCCAAGGGUUGGGCUGUUCGCCCAUUAAAGCGGCACGCGAGCUGGGUUCAGAACGUCGUGAGACAGUUCGGUCCCUAUCCGUCGCGGGCGUAGGAAAUUUGAGAGGAUCUGCUCCUAGUACGAGAGGACCAGAGUGGACUUACCGCUGGUGUACCAGUUGUCUUGCCAAAGGCAUCGCUGGGUAGCUAUGUAGGGAAGGGAUAAACGCUGAAAGCAUCUAAGUGUGAAACCCACCUCAAGAUGAGAUUUCCCAUGAUUAUAUAUCAGUAAGAGCCCUGAGAGAUGAUCAGGUAGAUAGGUUAGAAGUGGAAGUGUGGCGACACAUGUAGCGGACUAAUACUAAUAGCUCGAGGACUUAUCCAA